rnacentral:rRNA from 1 species
UACGGAGGGGGCUAGCGUUGUUCGGAAUUACUGGGCGUAAGCGCACGCAGGCGGCUUUGUAAGUUAGAGGUGAAAGCCCGGGGCUCAACUCCGGAAUUGCCUUUAAGACUGCAUCGCUAGAAUUGUGGAGAGGUAAGUGGAAUUCCGAGUGUAGAGGUGAAAUUCGUAGAUAUUCGGAAGAACACCAGUGGCGAAGGCGACUUACUGGACA